rnacentral:misc_RNA from 1 species
GAGAUGGUUCCUGCACUUGCUGACGCCAAGCACUAUCUUUCAUAUCGCCGGGCCGGCCUCUUUUACCAUUUCUUUCUCUUUCUCUGUUUUGGACAAGAUCAACGGAGACUCCCUGUCCCUACAUACUCGUCGUCACCCACGCACGCGCUUCAGCUUCAGCUUCGUCCUCGUCUUCGUCUUCGUGUCAUCGUGCGUGUGUGCGCUUGGACGGAAACGGCCUCUCAUCCUCCGACGACCCAGACUCGAUCCACUCACCACCACCGGCUUAUUCGUUUAUACGGAAACAGAUUCAGCUUCUGUGCCUGCUUCAGCCAUGGCCAUGCUGCCCGUCGUCGUCCGCAUGGCCGCCAUGCCCUUCAUCUUCCUUGUGCUCCUCGCGCACACCGCCUCGGCACAGCCCGACGCCGGCUGCAACGGGAUCCUCCUCACCUACACGCUGCAGCGCCGGGACAAGAUCAGGCCUCACGUGGCGGCGCCCAACUCCCAGCCCUACUCCUUCAGCGCCAGCGCCACCGUCGUCAACGCCGGCACCCGCCCGCUACGCUCCUGGGCGCUGCUGCUCACCUUCGUGCACGGCGAGAUCCUCGUCUCCGUCGACGGGGCCGUGCUCACCUCGGGCGCCGCCCUGCCCUACAACACCACGGCGGGGGACGCCGCCGGCAGGCCCACGCCCACGUCCUUCACCGGGUACCCGCAGACGGACCUCCUCACCCCGAUCGCCACGGCCGGGGACCCCGCCAAGACACAGGCCACGGUCAGCCUCGUAGGCACGCUCUUCGCCGGGCCGGAGCCCUACGUCCCGCUCCCCUCGUUUCUCUCGCUCGCCGACCCUUCCUACACCUGCCCGCCGGCCACCAACGCCACGUCGUCGCCGACGAACCUCACCACCUGCUGCGUGUUCACGGCGGGUGGGGACCCCACCGGCGGCCUGGUGGACACGGCCGAAUGCCUCUACGGUCCCCAGGGCCAGUACUACAAGGACCUCGACUUCUCCAAGGCGGUGCUCAACUGCGACCGCAGGCCCGUCGUCCACGACCUGCCGCCGUCGCGGGCCAACGACACGGAGAUCGGCCGGAUCGACCACUGCUGCCGGAACGGCACCAUCCUGCCCAAGUCCAUGGAUGUCGCGCGCUCCAAGUCGGCGUUCCAGAUGGUGGUGUACAAGAUGCCGCCCGACCUCAACCGGACCAAGCUCUACCCGCCCACAGGGUUCAACGUCACCGGCGCCGCGUCCGCGCUGAACCCGGAGUACGCGUGCGACCCACCCAUCUCGGUGAGCCCGUCGGAGUACCCGGACCCCAGCGGGCUCACGUCGAUCACGGUGGCCGUGGCGACGUGGCAGGUGGUGUGCAACAUCACCACGUCGCCCAAGAAGCCGCCCAGGUGCUGCGUCUCCUUCUCCUCCUUCUACAACGAGUCGGUGGUCCCCUGCCGGACGUGCGCGUGCGGCUGCCCCUCGUCCGCGCCGACCUGCAGCACCACGGCGCCGGCGAUGCUGCUGCCGCCGCAGGCGCUGCUCAUGCCGUUCGACCGGCGGGCCAGCGAGGCGCUCGAGUGGGCGGACCAGAAGCACCUCGGCGUGCCCAAACCCAUGCCCUGCGGCGACUUCUGCGGCGUCAGCGUCAACUGGCACGUCGCCACCGACUUCACCGGAGGAUGGAGCGCGCGCCUCACGCUCUUCAACUGGGACGGCACGGACAUGCCGGACUGGUUCACGGCCAUCGUCAUGGACAAGGCGUACGACGGCUUCGAACAGGCCUACUCCUUCAACGCCACGGGCGUCGGGAACAGCACCAUCUUCGUCAGGGGCGCCCAGGGCCUCAACUUCCUGCUCGGGGAGAGGAACAUGAGCGGCGUAGAUUACCCGGUGCCCGGGAAGCAGCAGUCCGUCUUCUCCUUCACCAAGAAGAAGACCCCCGGCAUCGACAUCAUCGCCGGGGACGGCUUCCCGUCCAAGGUCUUCUUCAACGGCGACGAGUGCGCCAUGCCAUUGAGGAUUCCGAGCCAGGGGACCAGUGUCGUCGUCCCUAUGCAGCUGUGUUUGCUUGUUUCCGCUUUCAUGUUAUUGCUGCUGUAAUAAUAACAUUUGCGAUUUUUGCUCAUCAUAGCUAUUCAUCUAUGUAAUUUUUUUUAUUAAAAAAAUCAACAGCUCUAAUUCAGCAAUAACACAAGGAGUAUUUUACAUGUUUCCUAUUCCCACAAAAACCAUCACAAGGCACACUACAGGGCACAUCAAAACUACAAGCUCAAGUUAUUUGAGCUCAACAACAUCAAACCUUGGUCGUCAAUACAGUUAGUUUCAGCAUACUCUUGGAUCCAGCGAUUUAAUUUACAACGUGUUUGGUUUGCCGGACAACGGUCUCCGGAAUCAUCCGAUCCUAUAUCCGAACCUAAUAUAUUUGUUUGGUUUACAUCAUAGAUCUGUGUCGUCCGACAUCAGAUACUCCAUGUAGUGCUCGUUAGAAGUGCAAUUAUGCAGCACCGGUUCACUCCCAGAAAAACAUCGGACGACCUCAUGCAGGAGCAGCUCAUGCCGGAUCAACUGAAUUCGCAAACCAAACACGUCCUUAGUGUCUCUCGUUGCUCCUUUUUCUCAGCAUUUUGAUUGUUUCACCUGCAUGCUGUAGAGCGGCUACAUCUUUUUCCUUCCAUUGCAUCUUUCUUUUUCCGACAGUCCAAACAGAGACAUGGGCCACCCCAUGGAGCGUACUGGGAAGAGCAGUAACCACCUCCAUUAUCUGCCAUCAAAUCUUGGAAGGGCUCUUGGUCCACUUGGCAGAUUGCACAGCGGAAAGGUGGUGAAGCUGCUUUCAAGGACAGAUUCCUACCCAACCU